rnacentral:rRNA from 1 species
UGGUAGUGUAUUGGACUACCACGGCGAUGACGGGUAACGGAGAAUUAGGGUUCGAUUCCGGAGAGGGAGCCUGAGAAAUGGCUACCACAUCUAAGGAAGGCAGCAGGCGCGCAAAUCACCCAAUCCUAAUUCAGGGAGGUAGUGACAAGAAAUAACAACUCGGGGCUAUGUCUCGAGAUUGGAAUGAGAACAAUGUAAAAGCCUUAACGAGGACCCACUGGAGGGCAAGUCUGGUGCCAGCAGCCGCGGUAAUUCCAGCUCCAGUAGCGUAUAUUAAAGUUGUUGCAGUUAAAAAGCUCGUAGUUGAACUUCUGUGGCGUGGCUGCGUGCGGCAACGUGCGCGGCCUGGCCACAUCCUCCUGAGGAGCUCGCUCUCAUUCACUUGUGGGCGAGUGUUCAGGUACUUUACCUUGAGAAAAUUAGAGUGUUCCAGGCAGGCGCAGCCUGAAUAGUGCAGCAUGGAAUAAUGCAAGAGGACUUAGCUCCAGUUGUUGGUGUAUGGCGCUGAGUAAUGAUUAACAGGGAUAGUUGGGGGCAUUCGUAUUUAAUUGUCAGAGGUGAAAUUCUUGGAUUUAUUAAAGACAAACCUGUGCGAAAGCAUUUGCCAAGGAUGUUUUCAUUAAUCAAGAACGAAAGUUAGGGGAUCAAAGACGAUUAGA